UUUGGGGGUUGACUGUUUCAUCGCUGUGGCUGUGACAUUUUGGUCGGAUAAUAAUAUCUUGUUCAGCGGUCGGUUGCACGGCAAGACACUCAAAGGAAUCGGCAGUUCAGUUUUUCCGACUUCCUUUUGAUGAGGCCAGGCUGAAGCAAUGGUUGGUGAACAUGAGGAGAGAGAGACCAGCAAAUGGAACCACGAAAAGUCACGUCUGCUGUUCACACUUUGAGGAAGAUCAGUUUUUUAGAGACAAGCAGGUAUCCACACUGAAAACUGAAUGAGCAGAGCCUCCAGAAGGAAGACGAGGUGUAUAGAGCCUCCAGAAGGAAGACGAGGUGUAUAGAGCCUCCAGAAGGAAGACCUGGUGUAUAGAGCCUCCAGAAGGAAGACGAGGUGUAUAGAGCCUCCAGAAGGAAGACGAGGUGUAUAGAGCCUCCAGAAGGAAGACCUGGUGUAUAGAGCCUCCAGAAGGAAGACCUGUUGUGUAGAGCGGCGUAUUUGGUGCCAUUUCAUCUGGAUGUGGAAACCAGAGCGUUGACCACAUCCAAAGUUCUCAAAUGUGUUCUGAUUGUAAAAAUGCCAGAAAAUCAUUUUUGGUUCAGCUUCUUCUGCUGGAAGGAUGGACAAUCUUUUGGCACUUGGUAGUUAGAGGUUCAAUUUCUUGUGGUUGACUUAGUUUCUGCUGUAGUUUGAGAGGUGAUAGUAGUAACAUUAAGUAGUUUUGUGGAUUAAAACUUUUAUAAAUAUUAAACUGGAAUAAAAUAAUGAAUAUACUCUAGCAGUCACAGGUGAAAGUAUGUUUGGUAAUUUCACAUAAAGGGUCUUGUAUAUUUUAUGUAUUUAUGUACUGUUAGAAUUAAAUAUUGACAUUGCA